GCCGGAUAAGCUGUUUGGGCUUGUCAGCAGAUGGAAGUGCCUUGUGUACAGGAAGUUAUGAUACAAACCUGAAGAUUUGGGCGUUUGGAGGCCAUAGGAAGGUGAUUUGAGAAGAAAGAAGUGUUUCUUUGCAAUUGCAGUUCUCUCUCAUGUAAGGGUCAUUGGUUCUUGCCACCUGCAGAAUGCCUUGUGCUUCCUGGGUAGAAUUUCAAUG
rnacentral:misc_RNA from 1 species